ACCCUAUUAUUUUUGAUGUACAAGUUUAAUUUUAGUAGUAUUAGUUAUGAUCUUGAAACUAAAAGAAUCUGGCGGUAUUUUAGUCUAUUUAGAGGAAUUUGUUUUUUAAUCGAUAGUCCGCGUUUUACCUUACUUUAAUUAAUUCUUGUAUAUCUCUGUUUUGUUGAAUAUGUUUUUAGACUAUUUUUAAUUUUCUUGAUAAUUUAUUUAUUAAUAUUUCAAGUCAAGGUGCAGUAAUAUUAGAGUUUUAAAAUGAAUUACAAUAAAUUUUAUUUAUUAUGGAUAUAAAUUGAAAUAUUUAUUUGAAGGUGGAUUUAAUUGUAAUUUUUAUUAUUUUAUUUUAAUGAUUAUUUAGCUCUAAGAUAUGUACAC
rnacentral:rRNA from 1 species